rfam:Gossypium arboreum cultivar AKA8401 contig_7450_5, whole genome shotgun sequence.
UGUUAAAAAAUUCAUCCCUUUGUACUGUUAAAAACUAGUGUGGCUGACAGAAUGAUCUGAUGCCAUAUGGUGUUCCAUAUGUAGCUUAUAUUGAUGUACAGAGAUCAGUUUUUAACAAUAACAAUGGAUUAAAUUUUUAACA